AGACAGGUGCUGCAUGGCUGUCGUCAGCUCGUGUCGUGAGAUGUUGGGUUAAGUCCCGCAACGAGCGCAACCCUUGCCUUUAGUUGCCAGCAGUUCGGCUGGGCGACUCUAAAGGGACUGCCGGUGUUAAACCGGAGGAAGGUGGGGAUGACGUCAAGUCCUCAUGGCCUUUAUGACCGGGGCUACACACGUACUACAAUGGCCGAUACAAAGGGCAGCGACACUGCGAGGUGAAGCCAAUCCCGUAAAAUCGGUCUCAGUCCGGAUUGGAGUCUGCAACUCGACUCCAUGAAGUUGGAAUCGCUAGUAAUCGUGGAUCAGCAUGCCACGGUGAAUACGUUCCCGGGCCUU
rnacentral:rRNA from 1 species